rnacentral:rRNA from 1 species
UAGGGAAUCUUCGGCAAUGGACGAAAGUCUGACCGAGCAACGCCGCGUGAGUGAAGAAGGUUUUCGGAUCGUAAAACUCUGUUGUUAGAGAAGAACAAGGACGUUAGUAACUGAACGUCCCCUGACGGUAUCUAACCAGAAAGCCACGGCUAACUACGUGCCAGCAGCCGCGGUAAUACGUAGGUGGCAAGCGUUGUCCGGAUUUAUUGGGCGUAAAGCGAGCGCAGGCGGUUUCUUAAGUCUGAUGUGAAAGCCCCCGGCUCAACCGGGGAGGGUCGUUGGAAACUGGGGGACUUGAGUGCAGAAGAGGAGAGUGGAAUUCCAUGUGUAGCGGUGAAAUGCGUAGAUAUAUGGAGGAACACCAGUGGCGAAGGCGGCUCUCUGGUCUGAAGCUGACGCUGAGGCUCGAAAGCGUGGGGAGCAAACAGG